rnacentral:rRNA from 1 species
GACGAACGCUGGCGGCGUGCUUAACACAUGCAAGUCGAACGGAAAGGCCCCGCUUUUGUGGGGUGCUCGAGUGGCGAACGGGUGAGUAACACGUGAGUAGCCUGCCCUUGACUUUGGGAUAACUUCAGGAAACUGGGGCUAAUACCGGAUAGGAGCUCCUGCUGCAUGGUGGGGGUUGGAAAGUUUCGGCGGUUGGGGAUGGACUCGCGGCUUAUCAGCUUGUUGGUGGGGUAGUGGCUUACCAAGGCUUUGACGGGUAGCCGGCCUGAGAGGGUGACCGGCCACAUUGGGACUGAGAUACGGCCCAGACUCCUACGGGAGGCAGCAGUGGGGAAUAUUGCACAAUGGGCGGAAGCCUGAUGCAGCAACGCCGCGUGCGGGAUGACGGCCUUCGGGUUGUAAACCGCUUUCGCCUGUGACGAAGCGUGAGUGACGGUAAUGGGUAAAGAAGCACCGGCUAACUACGUG